rnacentral:rRNA from 1 species
ACUCAAAUGAAUUGACGGGGACCCGCACAAGCGGUGGAUCAUGUGGUUUAAUAUGACGCUACGCGUAGAACCUUACCAAGGCUUGACAUCCCUAGGAUCUUCUGGAAACAGAGGAGUGCCUUCGGGAGCUAGGUGACAGGUGCUGCAUGGCCGUCGUCAGCUCGUGUCGUGAGAUGUUGGGUUAAGUCCCGCAACGAGCGCAACCCUUAUCGUAUGUUGUAUUUUUCAUGCGAGACUGCCCGGGCCAACCGGGAGGAAGGUGGGGAUGACGUCAGGUCGGCAUGGCCCUUACGCCUUGGGCUACUCACGUGAUACAAUGGCCAGUACAACGCGCAGCAAUACCGCGAGGUGGAGCAAAUCGCAUCAAAACUGGUCUCAGUUCGGAUUGGAGGCUGCAACUCGCCUCCAUGAAGUCGGAAUCGCUAGUAACCGUGGGUCAGCACACCACGGUGAAUACGUUCCCGGGUCUUGUACACACCGCCCGU